UACGGGGGGGGCAAGCGUUGUUCGGAAUUACUGGGCGUAAAGGGCUGGUAGGCGGCCAACUAAGUCAGACGUGAAAUCCCUCGGCUUAACCGGGGAACUGCGUCUGAUACUGGAUGGCUCGAGUUUGGGAGAGGGAUGCGGAAUUCCAGGUGUAGCGGUGAAAUGCGUAGAUAUCUGGAGGAACACCGGUGGCGAAGGCAGCUCGCUGGGACGUUACUGACGCUGAGACGCGAAAGCGUGGGGAGCGAACAGG
rnacentral:rRNA from 1 species